rnacentral:rRNA from 1 species
CCCUUAGAUGUCCGGGGCCGCACGCGCGCUACACUGAAGGAAUCAGCGUGGCUUUCUCCCUGACCCGAAAGGGUUGGGAAACCCGUUGAAUCUCCUUCGUGAUAGGGAUUGGGGCUUGAAAUUGUUCCCCAUGAACGAGGAAUUCCCAGUAAGCGCGAGUCAUAAGCUCGCGUUGAUUACGUCCCUGCCCUUUGUACACACCGCCCGUCGCUCCUACCGAUUGAAUGAUCCGAUGAAUACCAUGGAUUGAGAGUACGAAUAGGUUCGCUUAUUUCUGCUGCUCGAGAAGUGGAGUAAAUCUUAUCAUUUAGAGGAAGGAGAAGUCGUAACA